GAUGAGAACGCAGCGAAAUGCGAUACGUAAUGUGAAUUGCAGAAUUCAGUGAAUCAUCGAAUCUUUGAACGCAUAUUGCGCUCUCUGGUAUUCCGGAGAGCAUGCUUGUUUGAGUAUCAGUAAACACCUCAACUUCCAUAUCUUUUUUUGAAAUGGGAGUUGGACUUGAGUGAUCCCAACGCUUUUCCUCACCGAAAAGUGGCGGGUUACUUGAAAUGCAGGUGCAGCUGGACUUUUCUCUGAGCUAUAAGCAUAGCUAUUUAGUCUGCCUAAAAAACAGAUUAUUACCUUUGCUGCAGCUAACAUAAAGGAGAUUAGUUCUUGUGCUGACUGAUGCAGGAUUCACAAAGACAGCUUCGGCCGACUUUGUAAACUCGAUCUCAAAUCAAGUAAGACUACCCGCUGAACUUAAGCAUAUCAAUAAGCGGAGGA
rnacentral:misc_RNA from 1 species